GUCCAAAAGCUUGAAGAUCUCAUCACUAUAUUCUUCAAUCUUGUCCUGCACGUACAUCUUUCCACCUUUCUUGUUCUUCUCCUCUCUGCUCAAUGCCUUGUCGAACC
rnacentral:sRNA from 1 species